AUUGGCAAAGGCAUUGGGAGAAGGAGGUGCCCCAGAGAACCAGAAAAGCCUCCAUCACCCUGAAGACAGAGAAUUAUGGAUGUGAGUGUGUUAAAGUUUCCAGGGACAGCAAAGAUAAGUGGAUGCGGCUUUGUUUCCUCUUGCUUCCUCCACAUAUGAAACCAUUCUGAUAGAUCUGCAGGAAGAGAUGUAGUCGCAGAUGGCAGAGUGAAUAGUUAUGCCCAUGAAGCCAAGAAGAAAGCCACAAUGGCACAAAUUAGACACGCACACAUGAAAAAGAAUAAACUUGUUACUGUGCAAUAAUAAGACCCAGAGGGAUGCAUUAUCAGUUACACUGUCCAUGAGGAGAAAACUUCCCAGUUUCUCAGGUUCUUCUCUUCUCAGCCCACAGGCCUCUAUUGUUUUCCUCUGCUUCUUCCUGCACUGAAAUUGGUAACAUGUGCAUCUUGUG